GUACCAGACUCCUACGGGAGGCAGCAGUGGGGGAUAUUGCACAAUGGGGGGAACCCUGAUGCAGCGACGCCGCGUGGGUGAAGGAGUGCUUCGGCAUGUAAAGCCCUAUCGGCAGGGAAGAAGCAAGACGGUACCUGACUAAGAAGCCCCGGCUAACUACGUGCCAGCAGCCGCGGUAAUACGUAGGGGGCGAGCGUUAUCCGGAUUCACUGGGCGUAAGGGGAGCGCAGGCGGCACGGUAAGUCCGGUGUGAAAGCCCGGGGCCCAACCCCGGGACUGCACUGGAAACUGCCGGGCUGGAGUGUCGGAGGGGCAGGCGGAAUUCCUGGUGUAGCGGUGAAAUGCGUAGAUAUCAGGAGGAACACCGGUGGCGAAGGCGGCCUGCUGGACUGCAACUGACGUUGAGGCCCGAAAGCGUGGGGAGCAAACAGGAUUAGAUACCCUUGUAA
rnacentral:rRNA from 1 species